rnacentral:rRNA from 1 species
UAAGGAAUAUUGGUCAAUGGACGCAAGUCUGAACCAGCCAUGCCGCGUGAAGGAUGAAGGUCCUCUGGAUUGUAAACUUCUUUUAUCUGGGACGAAAACGGGAUUUUUAUCUCAAUUGACGGCACCAGAGGAAUAAGCACCGGAUAACUCCGUGCCAGCAGCCGCGGUAAUACGGAGGGUGCGAGCGUUAUCCGGAUUUACUGGGUUUAAAGGGUGCGUAGGUGGGCUUAUAAGUCAGUGGUGAAAUCUCCGAGCUUAACUUGGAAACUGCCGUUGAUACUAUAGGUCUUGAAUUAUCUGGAGGUAAGCGGAAUAUGUCAUGUAGCGGUGAAAUGCUUAGAUAUGACAUAGAACACCAAUUGCGAAGGCAGCUUACUACAUAUAAAUUGACGCUGAGGCACGAAAGCGUGGGGAUCAAACA